AUUGAACGCUGGCGGCAGGCCUAACACAUGCAAGUCGAACGAGUGGCGGACGGGUGAGUAAUGUCUGGGAAACUGCCCGAUGGAGGGGGAUAACUACUGGAAACGGUAGCUAAUACCGCAUACCAUCGGAUGUGCCCAGAUGGGAUGAGCUGGUAGGGGAGGUAACGGCUCACCUAGGCGAAGAUCCCUAGCUGGUCUGAGAGGAUGACCAGCCACAUUGGAACUGAGAACCGGUCCAGACUCCUACGGGAGGCAUCAGUGGGGAAUAUUGCACAAUGGGCGCUAUCCUGAUGCAGACAUGCCGCGUGUAUGAAGAAGGCCUUAGGGUUGUAAAGUACUUUCAGCGGGGAGGCGUUACCCGCAGAAGAAGCACCGGCUAACUCCGUGCCAGCAGCCGCGGUAAUAC
rnacentral:rRNA from 1 species